UGACCGCUGGCGGCGUGCCUAAUACAUGCACAUCGCGCGAACAGACGCGGAGCUUGCUCCUCUGACGUUAGCGGCGGACGGGUGAGUAACACGUGGAUAACCUACCUAUAAGACUGGGAUAACUUCGGGAAACCGGAGCUAAUACCGGAUAAUAUAUUGAACCGCAUGGUUCAAUAGUGAAAGACGGUUUUGCUGUCACUUAUAGAUGGAUCCGCGCCGCAUUAGCUAGUUGGUAAGGUAACGGCUUACCAAGGCAACGAUGCGUAGCCGACCUGAGAGGGUGAUCGGCCACACUGGAACUGAGACACGGUCCAGACUCCUACGGGAGGCAGCAGUAGGGAAUCUUCCGCAAUGGGCGAAAGCUUGACGGAGCAACGCCGCGUGAGUGAUGAAGGUCUUCGGAUCGUAAAACUCUGUUAUUAGGGAAGAACAAAUGUGUAAGUAACUAUGCACGUCUUGACGGUACCUAAUCAGAAAGCCACGGCUAACUACGUG
rnacentral:rRNA from 1 species